CCUAGAAAGAAUCUAAGGUGCAACCUGCCCAAUGGUUUUAACUAAAAACCUAAAGAUUUGCAAUAAAACUUAAAGGACGCAGUAACUUGACUGUGAUAAUGUAGCAUAAUCACUAGCCACUUAAUUGGUGGAUAGCAUGAAUGGUUAAACGAACCCCCCACUGUCUCAAAUAAAGAAACCAUGAAAUUAAAGUAAUAGUAAAGAUGCUAUUUAAAAUUGUAAGACGAAAAGACCCUAUAGAGCUUAACUACAUCUCCUAAUUAUUACCUUUAAAAAUAAGAGAAGCUAGUUUAGUUGGGGCGACUGCUUUCUAAAAAUAACGAAAGCAAACAAAGUUAAUAAAUAACUAAUUGUAUAACUAAUCAGUUUAACAAUUACAAGAGUAGGUUAUAAUGACCCGUUGAAAACAAGUGAAAAAUCAACGAUCAAUUGACAAAAGCUACCUUAGGGAUAACAGGAUAAUUUUGUUCUAGAGACCUUAUCGAAAACAAAGUUUAUUACCUCUAUGUUGAAUUAAGAUAUCCUGAUAAAGCAGAACUUAUCAAAGGUAGGUCUGUUCGACCUU
rnacentral:rRNA from 1 species